UACGUAGGGGGCAAGCGUUGUCCGGAAUCACUGGGCGUAAAGGGCGCGUAGGUGGCGCGGGCAGUCAACGGUGAAAGUUCGGGGCUCAACCCUGAAUCGGCCGUCGAUACUCCCGUGCUUGAGCACUGUAGAGGCAGAUGGAAUUCCGGGUGUAGCGGUGGAAUGCGUAGAGAUCCGGAAGAACACCGGUGGCGAAGGCGGUCUGCUGGGCAGUAGCUGACACUGAGGCGCGACAGCGUGGGGAGCAAACAGG
rnacentral:rRNA from 1 species